GAUGAACGCUGGCGGCGUGCUUAACACAUGCAAGUCGAACGAGAAUCAACGGAUUGAGGAUUCGUCCAAAUGAAGUUGAGGAAAGUGGCGGACGGGUGAGUAACGCGUGAGGAACCUGCCUCGGAGUGGGGAAUAACAGUUGGAAACAGCUGCUAAUACCGCAUAAGACCACAGAGCCGCAUGGCUCGGGGGUCAAAGGAGAAAUCCGCUGAAGGAUGGCCUCGCGUCCGAUUAGCUAGUUGGCGGGGUAACGGCCCACCAAGGCGACGAUCGGUAGCCGGACUGAGAGGUUGAUCGGCCACAUUGGGACUGAGACACGGCCCAG
rnacentral:rRNA from 1 species